rnacentral:lncRNA from 1 species
UGCCUCAGCACGUCUGCGCAGCUUUCCUUGCGGCGCCCCUCCGCGUGGUCUAUGAUGGUGCAUUUUGGUCCAGUCAGGCCCGGUGUGGUCGGCCUCAUUUUGGAUUACUUCGGUGGGCUUCUCCUCGGCGUGGUUACGGUCUAGUACACCUUAGUGUGCUUUUCUCUGCAUGGUCCUUCCCAGCGUGGCUCGUCUCAGCAGCGUGGUUUUCAUCCGUGUGAUCGUCCUCUGCAUGGUUUUUCACGUGAUGCAUUUACUUUAUGGAAUGGGUUUCCCACAACUACUACAGCAGUCUUUUACAUUUAUUUCCAAUAUAAACAUACAAAUGUGGGCAUACAUCUGUAUGUGUAUAUAAAUUUUAACACAUUUAGCAUUUAUGUGUAAUGCAAAGGAUGUUUAGAAGUCAUACAAUGGAAAUACAAGAACACUAUAUAUAGUCUUUUAAAAAUCUGAAAUAGAACAUAAAACUAAAAAAAAAGUUAAGAAAACUUCAAAAUCUCUAGGACUUUAGAUUUGAAAGAGAAUUGAGAUGCAACACCGAAAACUUAAUCCAAGUGGGGGAGGGGACUCAAUUUUAUUAUAAUUAGAAACAAAUGAGUUAUUCCUGCAACAAGUGCAUUUUUCUAAGUAGCAACAGAAGCAAGGAGGAACAGGCUCACUGACUGUUAAAAUGCUGUGCUUUGUGAAGGCAAUGAGACAAGUCACAGAUUUACUGCAUAUCACUUAAUGGAAUCAAGGGCCUUGUACCCAGAGUAUAUAAAGAAGAAUGAUCAUAAUUUGACAACAGUGAAGCAAACAACCCAUCUUAAAAAGUGGAUUACAAAUAAGCAUGGGAAAUUGUGCUCAGCCACAGUCUAUGGUCUUUAUGGAAAUACAAUAUUAAAGCUUCAGUGAGAUAACCCUGAAAAUUAUCAUGAAGAUGGAUAAAGCAUUAAAUUAAAACCUUGUAACAGCCAGCACUUCAAGGAGGCAGAAUGACUGCAACCCUCAUGUGCCCGAGGUGGGAAUGCAAAGUGGCCCAACUGCUCUGAAGAACAAACUUCAUAGCCUUAUAAACACACAUAUGAUUUAUGACUCAGUGUAUGGGAUAUUUAAGUUCACAUAAAUCUGCACACAAAAAUAUACAGCAAUUUUACCUCUAGUUGCACCAAACAAGUUAUAACCAAGAUGGCAACAGUGAAAUGAAUAAAGAAAUCGUGGUGUGUCUAUCUGUCCCACCUAUGCAGUGGAAUAAUGUCCAGCAAUCAACUAGAAUAUUGGAGGAUCCUGGGACAGAUAAUAGACUAUGGUGAGUAGACUGUGUGUUGUGAAUACAUGAUAGAGCACUGAAGAGAGAAGGUGGGGUCUGGGGGAGGAGGAACUUGCUAACGUUGCUUUAAAAAAUAAUGUUUGGACUAAAGAAAACCUAGAGAAAAAAUACUGACAUAAACACAAUAUUCUUGUAGAUAAUUUUGUUUCACACAGGGGUACUGUAUAUCAAGGAUUAUACAAACCAGUAUCUAUACUAGAAAAUGGGAGCUGAGGACAAAGUAAGGAUAAUCAGAAACAGUAUAAACUCGAGGUAAGCUGCAUAAAGAUACAAACCCUGAAACAUGGAUGUAUAUAGACUUUCAUUAUAGACAUACAUAUUUCCUAGUUCUACCUGCAGAAAGGAUAUGUUAUCAGUGACCCUUUUGUGGCAAAGAACACACUCUGUGCCCAGGUCAUAUAUAACACUGUUAGUCUGCCAAUAAAAGCGAAUAUGGCUCCUUGGAAGAAUGGCCGCUUCUGGGGCUAGCACAGGGAAACUACACGAUGAACCUAAAAGGAACUAAAUGGAAAGCAUGUCUAAAGGGCUCCUGUACAAGUGGCUAAAGUAGAAAAAGGUUAGCCACAAAACAAUAAUCCUCAGCUAUACCCCAGAAACACAGUUGCCAAGUCCGUCUGUAUUUCUAAAUAACUGAAAGUGAGAUGAAAAAAGUGAUCUCUGUAAGUGUAGAAGGAACGAGUUAACCAGAAGUGCACCGUAGAAAUGCUUGAAAGAUCCGUGGAUGAAGGCUAGAAUAGAAUUAGUAGGUGAAAUCUUUUUUUUUUGUAAUUAUUCCUUCAUUCUCUUUAUUGAUCCAUGUUGAACAUAUACAAUAAACUAAAAAGCCACUUUGUUCAUUUAAUUAUC